rnacentral:rRNA from 1 species
UACAGAGGGGGCAAGCGUUGUCCGGAGUUACUGGGCGUAAAGGGCCCGCAGGUGGCACGGCAAGUGCCGGGUGAAAGCCCCGUGCUUAACACGGGGAGGCCCCGGCAGACGGUCGCGCUCGAGGGUGGCAGAGGGGGGUGGAAUUGCUGGUGUAGUGGUGAAAUGCGUAGAGAUCAGCAGGAACACCAAGGGCGAAGGCAGCAAACUGGGCAUCAACUGACGCUGAGGCGCGAAAGCGUGGGUAGCAAACAGG